GUGCACUGAAUUUCGUUGUACUUCUGUCCAAUGACAAAUAAAUAUAUAUCUAUAACACCCGGAACUCUAUUGCAGCCAAUGAGCUCGAGUUGAAAAAGAAAAUAGCUUACAGCACGUGGUAUUCCCCGGUGAAGCAGUCAACGGAGGAUUCACUCAGUACCAGAUGGAACAUGCCUACACAUCAGUGCACCGUGUGCGACAAGACAUUCGGUGAAAAGUCCAACCUGGCGAGUCAUCUGAAGAUCCAUGCAGACGCCAGGGAGACCUUUACCUGUGAUGUCUGCGGGAAGAGCUUGGCCACUAAACCAUCGCUGGGUUAACAGCUAGUAGAGGAGGCCUACGUGGUGUGGCGUGGCCUGAAGCCAACACUCUGAAGCCAUUAUGGUAAGAGUUAUCCAUGGUUUUAUGGGAGUGCAUUCAUUAAAGAAUAGAGAAAGGGCCACACUUGAUUAAUUCAAAAGAGAUGAGGGAGGGGGGGUAAGAUAGAGGGAGGGGGGUUUAGGAGGUAAAGAAAGAAUUAAACAGAAGAGAGAUUAAAUGCAAAACAAGCUAUAAUUGGGUUAAGUUAUGCAUUACCAUUGGACACCAGAUACUGAAAAUAAUAACCAGUAAAAUCAGGAGGGAGGGAAUAGGGGGAAAUAUAAUAGAAAGGGGGGUUGUAAAUCAUAAAAUAAAAAUAACUAAACAGAUACUGUAACAUAUGAGAAAGAAUACUAAUGUUCUUUGUCCAUUUGUGGAGAGGUAGGCUGUAGCAGUGGGAGGGUGAGGGUGAGGGUGAGG